UCCAGCACUGUAACGGAGUGGCCUUCCCCCACAUCCUCUGCUUUAGCUCCCCUCUGAAGUACCUAGAUAACAGUAUUUGAUGCACAUUUCCUGAGUUGUGUGGCAGAUAUGAAAACCCCCCACUGCGUGGAAGAUGUUGACUACUUGACUAUCAUGAGCACACAGCCCCAGGCUUCCUGGAGCCUAAGGACGGAUAAGGUUAACCUUGUGACCCCACCAUGUUCCUUCAUCAUCAGCCCGUCAGACACUUGUGCUCAAACUGAUUCUGAGACCGCUCUCCUUCACUUGGCCUUUAAAUAUGCUUUGCUGAAACCCUAUGGGGAGCUCAGGGAUUUUUAGAGCAUGAGCCACCAGUCUUGCAGUGCCCUGCAGUAAACCUUUCUCUGCUCCAAACUGACGUUUCAGUUUGUUUGGCCUCACUGUGCGUUAGUCACAUGAACUUGCGCUAACAGCAUGAUCAGCAGCUGGUUCUUGGUCUCCUACAACUUCAAAGCCUGGCGAGCUUGGAAUGAAGGAUGAGGCCUCCAGGGUACAGGAAAUGGAAGGGUGAAAAAUCACAUGGACGUUCUCCUUGACUUUCUGCUGAUGGGUGAUAGCAGCUAUCCUCAACCUUGGAAAUGGCCUCAAGUGCAAACACCCAGGACAGCUGGGGUUCCGUUCUGGUCUGGAUGGUCAGCAGCUCUCACUGCACAGCCCACCUUGGAUGCUGGCUACUGCCAGUGUCCCGCUGGCCCUGCAAACAGUUCUGUGAAGUAUUCAACAUCGGGAUGACCCAGAUCCAUGGGAAAGUGUAUACAAAGUGGAGUGAGAAGAGUCAAGAGCAGAGUUGUAUGUACACAUUGAUGGCAGCUCUGAAAGCUUAUUUACA